GACGAACGCUGGCGGCGUGCUUAACACAUGCAAGUCGAACGAAGAGCGAUGGAAGCUUGCUUCUAUCAAUCUUAGUGGCGCACGGGUGAGUAACGCGUAAUCAACCUGCCCUUCAGAGGGGGACAACAGUUGGAAACGACUGCUAAUACCGCAUACGAUCUAAUCUCGGCAUCGAGGAUAGAUGAAAGGUGGCCUCUACAUGUAAGCUAUCACUGAAGGAGGGGAUUGCGUCUGAUUAGCUAGUUGGAGGGGUAACGGCCCACCAAGGCGAUGAUCAGUAGCCGGUCGGAGAGGAUGAACGGCCACAUUGGGACUGAGACACGGCCCAGACUCCUACGGGAGGCAGCAGUGGGGAAUCUUCCGCAAUGGACGAAAGUCUGACGGAGCAACGCCGCGUGAGUGAUGACGGCCUUCGGGUUGUAAAGCUCUGUUAAUCGGGACGAAAGGCCUUCUUGCGAAUAGUGAGAAGGAUUGACGGUACCGGAAGAGAAAGCCACGGCUAACUACGUG
rnacentral:rRNA from 1 species